rnacentral:pre_miRNA from 1 species
AAUUUCAGUUGAAAAAGUCAUCAACAACAAAAGUUGUAUAACUUAUCAAGAUCUAUAACUUUUAUUUUGGUCAUUUCUUCAUCCGACAAAGUGAUAGUAACAUUUUCACAAAAUUUACAUAUCUCUCUUAUAGUUUAGAAAACCAUAUAAGAGAUAUGUAAAUUUUGUGAACUAUGUUAUUAUCACUUUGUCGGAUGAAGAAAUGACUAAAAUAAAAGUUAAAGAUCUUGAUGAGUUAUAUAACUUUGUUGUUGAUGACUUUUUCAGCUGAAAUC